rnacentral:tRNA from 2 species
GCGCGGUUAGCUCAGUUGGUAGAGCAACCCGUUUACACCGGGAAGGUCGUAGGUUCGAGUCCUACACCGCGCACCU